rnacentral:pre_miRNA from 1 species
CGAAUCCCGCCAAGGGAAGAUAUCUGUAUGAUAAAUAUAAAUGUCUUUUCCAGGGUUAUGGAUGUCU